rnacentral:tRNA from 1 species
GGGCGAUUGGCUCAGCGGGAGAGCGUCCGCCUCACACGCGGAAGGUCACUGGUUCGAUCCCAGUAUCGCCCA